UUUUAAAAUGAGAGUUUGAUCCUGGCUCAGGACGAACGCUGGCGGCGUGCCUAAUACAUGCAAGUCGAGCGAGCGGAACUAACAGAUCUACUUCG
rnacentral:rRNA from 1 species